AAGCGGUGGAUGAUGUGGAUUAAUUCGAUGCAACGCGAAGAACCUUACCUACCCUUGACAUGUCCGGAACUUGCCAGAGAUGGCUUGGUGCCCGAAAGGGAAUCGGAACACAGGUGCUGCAUGGCUGUCGUCAGCUCGUGUCGUGAGAUGUUGGGUUAAGUCCCGCAACGAGCGCAACCCUUAUCAUUAGUUGCUACGCAAGGGCACUCUAAUGAGACUGCCGGUGACAAACCGGAGGAAGGUGGGGAUGACGUCAAGUCCUCAUGGCCCUUAUGGGUAGGGCUUCACACGUCAUACAAUGGUCGGUACAGAGGGUUGCCAAGCCGCGAGGCGGAGCCAAUCCCACAAAGCCGAUCGUAGUCCGGAUUGUUCUCUGCAACUCGAGAGCAUGAAGUCGGAAUCGCUAGUAAUCGCAGGUCAGCAUACUGCGGUGAAUACGUUCCCGGGUCUU
rnacentral:rRNA from 1 species